rnacentral:rRNA from 1 species
AUUAGGUACCUUUUGCAUAAUGAGCCAGUGAGUUUAUAAAUAUAGCAAGUUUAAAUUUAUUGUAGACGCAGAUAACUCAAGUUUUAAAAAGCUUUUUAGUUAUAUUUAUAAGACCCGAAGCGAAGUGAUCUAAUCUUGAGCAGGUUGAAAAAAUAGCAGUAAUGCUUUUUGAAGGACCGAACCAGUUCGUGUUGAAAAACGUUUGGAUGACUUGAGAUUAGGGGUGAAAGGCUAAUCAAACUUCGUGAUAGCUGGUUUUCUGCGAAAUAUAUUUAAGUAUAGCCUAUAAUUCUUCUUUAUAGUGUGGUAGAGCUCUAUUGAAACAAAGGGGUUAUAUAUAAUUUACUAACUUUUGAUAAACUACGAAUACGCUAUAAAAGUUUAUAGAGUCAGACUAUUGGUGUUAAGGUCGUUAGUCGAGAGGGAAACAGCCCAGAAUAUUUGAUAAGGACUUUUAUUAUAAGCUAAGUGUUAAGGGUGUAAAAAAAUAAUGACAAUCAUAUUAUAGGCUUGGAAGCAGCCAUUAUUUUAAGAAAGCGUAACAGCUCGCUGAUUGAAAUUUCUUGCCCCGUAGAUGUUUUGAGUCUAAAUUAUAUAUCCGAAGCAGUACUUUUUUUAGGUAGCAGAACGUUCUAUAAGUUGAUAAAGAUUAUUUAUAAAAAUAAUUGAAGAUAUUAGAAUUGAGUAUGCUGGUAUAAGUAGUUUAAACAAUGUAAAAACCAUUGUCAUUGAAAAUCUAAAGUUUUCGAUUCAACACUAAAAGAAAUCGAUUUUAUAAUAAUCGGUCUCUAAGAAAAAUUACGAAAGUAUAAUUUAAUGAGACUGCAAAAAUAAACGUGACUGAAUACAGUAGUUUAAUAUUAUUAUUAAACUACUUAUUUUCUGGAAAUAACGUGCAAAGAUUACCGUACUUUAAACCGACACAGGUAGAUUGGUAGAAAAUACUAAAAUGUUUAAGUUAAUUAUAUCAAAGGAACUCGGCAAAUUAAUUCUGUAACUUCGGGAAAAGGAAUGACAACUAACAUUGUUGGCACUAAAUAAGCCGGAACAACUGUUUAAUAAAAACACAAGUCAUCGCUAAUUUGAAAAAAGAUGUAUGAUGACUGACGCCUGCCCAGUGCUUGGUAGGUAAGUAUAGUUGCUUUGGCAACUUAAUGAAUCUCAAGCAAACGGCUGCUCUAACUCUGAGAGUACUAAGGUAGCGAAAUUCCUUGUCAGGUAAGUUCUGACGUGCAUGAGUGGCGUAAUGAUUUCGGCACUGUCUCUGAUAUAAGCUUAAUGAAAUUUAAUUUUCAGUGAAGAUGCUGAAUAUUUACUAUAAGACGGAAAGACCCUAUGCACCUUUACUAUAUCUAUAAAUUGUAAGAUUUUAAAUUUUGUGUAGUAUAAACGGGAGCAAUUGCAUGAAUGAAAUACCGUUCUUUAUUUUUAAUUUUUACUUAAUUGUUAAAAACAGUUUAUAGUUGUUAGUUUGACUGGGGCGGUGUUCUCUUAAACAUUAACAGAGAAGUGCAAAGGCAAAUCCAGAUAUUAUAAUAUUGAUGCGCGUAAUAGCAGAUAUUUGCUUGAUUGUUAGAUUAACAAAUCGAACAAGGAUUAAUCGUCUGCUAUAGUGAUCUGGUAUUUCUUUGUGGAAAGAAUAUCACUUAACGAAUAACAGGUACGCUAGGGAUAACAGGCUUAUGGUUUCUGAUAGUUCAUAUAGACGAGACCGUUUGGCACCUCGAUGUCGGCUUAUCACAUCCUGCAGCUGUAGUUGGUUGCAAGGGUUCGGCUGUUCGCCGAAUAAAGUGGUACAUGAGCUGGGUUUAGAACGUCGUGAGACAGUUCGGUCCCUAUCUGUAGUAAAUGUUGAAAAUUGCAAGAUUUAUUUCUUAGUACGAGAGGACUGGAAAAUGUAAACCUCUGAUGUAUCAAUUGUUAAAUUUUUAUAUUUAGCAUGGUUGAUUAGUUACGUUUAUAAAAGAUAUCU